rnacentral:misc_RNA from 1 species
CAACUCGGAGGAAGGUGGGGAUGACGUCAAGUCAGCAUGCCCCUUACGUCCUGGGCUACACACGUACUACAAUGGUUGGGACAAAGGGCAGCAAGCUCGCGAGAGUAAGCGAAUCUCAUCAAACCCAGCCACAGUUCAGAUUGCAGGCUGCAACUCGCCUGCAUGAAGUAGGAAUCGCUAGUAAUCGCAGGUCAGCAUACUGCGGUGAAUUCGUUCCCGGGCCUUGUACACACCGCCCGUCACACCAUGGAAGCUGGCUACGCCCGAAGUCGUUACCCUAACCCGGUUUUGGGAGGGGGAUGCCGAAGGUAGAGCUAGUGACUGGGGUGAAGUCGUAACAAGGUAGCCGUACCGGAAGGUGUGGCUGGAUCACCUCCUUUACAGGGAGACCUAGUCUAAUUACCAAUAGAUGAAAAAGUUGGUAAUUCGCCAGAAUCCUUAGGUCGUGAAGGGAGCAAGAAAAAACUUUCAAACUGUAAUGGGUGAGGGUCAAUGGGCUAUUAGCUCAGGUGGUUAGAGCGCACCCCUGAUAAGGGUGAGGUCCCUGGUUCAAGUCCAGGAUGGCCCACCUGAAAUACACAGGCAUCCUGCCUGUGCCACAAAAAAAGGAAAAAAUUUUAGCAUUGUCUCUUGUAAGCAAGAGCAAGAGAUAAUGCUGGAAUCUAUUCCAGCAAGAACCUUGAAAACUGCAUAGAACUAGAAAGAAAAAGUCAGGUAGAAAAUCCUACAAGCUAGAGCUAGAAAGAGCAAAAGGU